rnacentral:rRNA from 1 species
AGAUUGAACGCUGGCGGCAGGCCUAACACAUGCAAGUCGAGCGGCAGCACGGGUACUUGUACCUGGUGGCGAGCGGCGGACGGGUGAGUAAUGCCUAGGAAUCUGCCUGGUAGUGGGGGAUAACGCUCGGAAACGGACGCUAAUACCACAUACGUCCUACGGGAGAAAGCAGGGGACCUUCGGGCCUUGCGCUAUCAGAUGAGCCUAGGUCGGAUUAGCUAGUUGGUGAGGUAAUGGCUCACCAAGGCGACGAUCCGUAACUGGUCUGAGAGGAUGAUCAGUCACACUGGAACUGAGACACGGUCCAGACUCCUACGGGAGGCAGCAGUGGGAAUAUUGGACAAUGGGCGAAAGCCUGAUCCAGCCAUGCCGCGUGUGUGAAGAAGGUCUUCGGAUCGUAAAGCACUUUAAGUGGAGAAGGCAGUUACCUAAUACGUAUCUGUUUUGACGUUACCGACAGAAUAAGCACGGCUAACUCUGUCG